rnacentral:tRNA from 1 species
GGGUUGGUCUAGCCACCAUUUCUGACUGUAAAUCAGCCGCCUCAUGGCUUCGCAGGUUCGAGUCCUGCCUCCCCCACCA